ensembl:lncRNA
AAACAGUUUCCUGUUCUCAGCUUUGUCCGUAUUGUACCAGCCAGCUGCUACACACAGACACAGCACAGCAGUAAUAUACAACACAAGGGGUGUCAAACUCAUUCCACGGACUGCCGAGUGCCAGCGGGUUUUUGGUUUUUCCUUCCAGUUAAGACGUAGACAACCAGGUGAGGGGAGUUCCUUACUAAUUAGUGACCUUAAUCAAUCAAGUACAAGGGUGGAGCGGAACCCGCAGACAUUCGGCGCUCGGUGGAGUGAGUUUGACACAUGUGGUGUAGUAGAUUGAGGCUGAAGUGAAAGUGAAAGUGUUUAGUGCUCUACAGUUGAGCAUUGCAGAAACCCCAAAACUGAGGUUGUGCGUUUGGCAUGUGUUAUUGAGAAUACAUACAUAUCUUAUCUUGUAUCUGUUUGUUUAGCUUUAGAGUACUUACAUAAAGUAUCCAGGCACCUGUGACUUUGUAGUAUACACAUAUAUAUUGAACAAAAAUAUAAAUGCAACAUGCAACAAUUUCAUUGAUUUUACUGAGUUACAGUUAUGAGGAAAUCAGUCAAUUGACAAAUUCAUUAUGC